UAUUUUUUAUGACUCCGAGCUUGCUUGCCUAAGUUCUAUACCUAAUAUUGGAUAUGGCAAACUCGCCAGUAGCAAGAAAUUGCUCAAUGGUUCGCAAAGAAAUGAACGAGCCACUCGUGUUUAGAAAGGUGUCUUUUUUAUGCAAAG
rfam:Haemophilus parahaemolyticus HK385 contig00002, whole genome shotgun sequence.